CCAAGGCUGGCAUUUGAGCAAGGGGGUUAGGGGGUUUGGGUGGCUGGUGGCCCUAGGGGUUGACCCUAAAGAACAUCUGGGCAGCCUGCCAUCCAAUUGCUCCAAAAUGAAAAUCCUCUAAAAGUGCCAUGUCAAUCACUGUGAAAUUGCUGCCGAGGCACUGGAUGCAGAAUCCCACCCAGUUCCCAUGGGAGAUCUUCCUGCAAGGAGAGGCCUUCAGUGGAGAGAACCCAGCCCUCUUCAGCGCGGAGAGCUGGUGGUGGAUGGUGUGCUCAGAGCUGGGCCCUGACCUUCUAGCCACAUUAUUCUCCUUUCACUCGGGGCCCUCAGUCAGAAGGCUGAAUGUGCUCUGGGGUGACUGACAAACCAGUCAAGGCCUCUGGUAUGAUUUAAUCUGACAGAUCCAAAGAGGAGCAUAAAAUGAUUUUGCUGUGGCUCAGACUUGCAGAGCUCCUGCAA